rnacentral:rRNA from 1 species
AGUAGCCGCGGUAAUACAGAGGGUGCAAGCGUUAAUCGGAAUUACUGGGCGUAAAGCGCGCGUAGGUGGUUUGUUAAGUUGGAUGUGAAAUCCCCGGGCUCAACCUGGGAACUGCAUCCAAAACUGGCAAGCUAGAGUAUGGUAGAGGGUGGUGGAAUUUCCUGUGUAGCGGUGAAAUGCGUAGAUAUAGGAAGGAACACCAGUGGCGAAGGCGACCACCUGGACUGAUACUGACACUGAGGUGCGAAAGCGUGGGGAGCAAACAGGAUUAGAUACCCGUGUAGUCCCUGUCUCUUAUACA